rnacentral:lncRNA from 1 species
UAUAUUUGAGUUGUAAAAUGAUCUCAAAUUUUUUUAACCCAAAGGACAAUGUUUAACUUUUAAGAUUUUUUUUUUAAAUAAAUUAAUUUUAAAAAAAAUAAAAUUUGAGAAAAUUUUAUUCCAAGCAGGUUGUCUUUGAUAAAAUUAUGGACCUUGAGACAAAACCUCUUGAAUCAGUUGAGUCAGAUGCACGUAAUGAUAAAGACUUGCAGAAGACAACAAAUGAAGUAAAGAAUGAUGGCAAUUCCCAAGAUGAAGAUUGCAACAAAAUAUCAUUACACAACAAAUUUGGAGAUAUAUCAAAAGGGGUAACAUUAGAAGAGAUCUAGGAAUUUUUGAAAUCUCUUAGGAUUGCAUUUUUUUAAUUUUGUGCAUUUAUUUUAAUUUUAACCAUAUUUUUGUAUGCUUUAAAAUUCCUAUCUUAUAUGGUUAAAUGUAUGAUUUUUUAAAGUUCUUUAUCCUAAAAUUAUUUGUUUUAAAUCUCCUAUUAUAUAUGUUUGAAUGGAUUUUUAUAUUUGAAAUAUAUUUUAUGCAUACAUGCUUUUAUUAAGGGAGAGUAUUAUCUUAGGGAGAGAACAUGAAACACAGCUUUUUAAUUAUGAUAAAAAAGGGAGAGAAAAUGUUUAAAGCUUAUUAUUAUUCACUAAUGCUCUUUUCCUCCAUAAGUUGUGUUCUUAUCCAGAUUAUUACUAAAAGCUUUAAAUCAAAGGAGUUUUUGAUCAUCAUCCAAAAGGGGGAGAAUGUUAGCAAAAUGAUGAAGAUGAAGUUUUGAUGAUGCCCAAAUCAACUAAAGAGAAAGGGAGAUUCAAGAAGAUCCUUUGAAGACUUGUUUUGCAAUGGAAAGCUUUUGUAAUAAUUGUAGUUUAUUGUUUAGGACUUAGAUUUUCAUUGGCUUUGAUUCCAUGUACUUUCAUACAUUGUAAUUAGUAUUAAGAGUCAAAAUCGCACUGUUUUAAUCGAUUAAAACUAGUAUUAAUCGAUUAAAACGAGUAAAAGCUGAAAACUCAAUUUUUUCUGUUUUAAUAGAUUAAAAUUCAUUUUAAUCUAUUAGUUAAUCGAUUAAAAUUCAUUUUAAUCUAUUAGUUAAUCGAUUAAAAUUCAUUUUAAUCGAUUCAAAGUGACUAUUGGAGUUUUCUAACUUUUGAAAACUAGCCGUUGCACUCAAUUUAAUCAAUUAACAGUAAUAUUAAUCGAUUAAAAGCGUUAAAUGGUUAGUUUUGAAUAAUGAAAUAGUUUUUGCUUGAGUCUAUAAAUAGGCUCUCUUUAUCCAUCAACAACAACUCUUCCCUUGCGCUAAAAUACUCAGAACUCUUUGAGAAUUGUGUGCUCUUGCUUAGUUAAGGAAACUCUUGUUUGUGGAACUGGUGAAUUAUUGCUACGGUGACAGAGGAAUAACUGGUUCAUCCUUGGUGCGUCUGAGGAGGUGUUUGGAAGAGGAUCAUCCUUCGUGAAGUAUUCGGAGGAGGUGUUUCAUCCUUGAAGUAUUCGAAGAAGGUGGUUCAUCCUUUGUGAAGAUUCAAAGGAGGUGCAGUUUUAUCUCUUGUGGUAUCAAGAGAGGUGAAUUCUAAACUUUUACAAAUUGUUUCUUUAUGAAUGUAGUUUGUAAUUGUUUUGUGCUUAAUGAACUGUUUAUCUUGAUUUGAGAUAAAUGACUGGACGUAGGAUUGGUAAGAUCUGAACCACUAUAAAACUCAUUUGUGCAAAUUUCUCUCAACAUUACUAUAUUUGUUAUUUGCACAGUAAGAUAAAUUGAGAAGAAAUUAAAAGACACACGUUUAUAUUAAAAACCCUUUUGAUUUAUUGUUCCAUGCUAACCAUUCCACUACAGUUGCUCUGACAACUAAUCCCUAAUUUUUAAUGAGUUUUCCCUAAAUCAAAACACACUCAUUUAUCAGUUUACCAUAUUUUAAAAUUUAAAAUGAUAUAUAUAUCCACAUAGUAAUCUCAAACUGUGCCACGUCAUUAAGUAAAGGACAACUCAACAUGCCACAUUGCAAGAAAGUUAACACCGUCCACAAUAACUAACAAUAAGGGCAUUAUUGACUCAAUUUUACCAAAAUAGGGACCUAAUUGAGAACUUUCAGAAUACGAGGACACAAUUGAUACGAAUCCGCAUAAAUAGGGACCUCUGAAUACAUUAAACCUUACACUAAUUUAUUUCUCACUAACAUAUAAAAUUUUGGUUAAAUAAAUUCAGUGGUCCCUAUUUUUAUUGGUUUUCUUCAAUUAGGUCCCCGUUUUUUAAAAAUGAUCAAUUUAGUCACUGAAUUUGAAAAAUCAAACCAAUGAAGGACAUUUCGUUAAUUUCCCUGGACGGCGUUAAAUAUAGACCAGUGCUUCUUUUUUCGCUUAAGCUAAACAUUUUCGCUUAUGCUAAAAAGACAGGUUCAAGUUUUGAAAGAUCCCAUAUGGUUAGAUGAAGAAAACCCUUUGCACAAGUGAAAAAUCAUCUUGUUCUUGGCUGCAUUGACAUUGAUGAUGACCCUAUAACUCAAGUUCUCUAAUGAAAGAAAUGUCGUGCUCAUGACAUAUGGCUGAGGAUUAUGUUCAUGUUAAGUAAUAAGCCUUCUCAAAGCUCAUUUUAUGUUGAUAUGUGCACCCUGCAUUGUCAUGAGUUUUUAAUUGACAUUCAUUUCCAUCUCAAUUUGUUCCAUGUCAAGCAGAAAAGCAGUUUUAUCGUGGUCACUUCAGUGAGGAGUGGUGAACUGUCAGUGUACAAAUUGAUCUAGUUUUACUGUUCUAGUCCAAAGUUGUGUACUCACAUUAGCGAUGUAAAUGUUAAUCCAGUGGUAUAUCCCCCUAUAAGAUAGGGCAGUAUUUGAAUUUAACUUCAACUUCAGAGUGCUUAGAGGCACCGAUACUGAGUUUUCAUUUAAAGCCCUUAUGCCUUACAUCAACUGAUGAAGGAAAAUGCUUUGUAUAUAUUGAACUUUUGGUUAGAGUACACGUUAUUCAUUUUACUGAAAACUGCUUUGGUUUUUUGUAUCAAAUCCCAUCUCCCCUUCGAUCAAAUAGGCCUUGGAGGAAUACUUAUGGCAUGCUUGGAUAGAAGAAAAAUAAAUUACUAAUGAUGAUGUUAUUUUUUCUAUUUGGCUAGAAAGAUUGUAAACGUGUAAGGAAAAGAAAUGUUAAUUUAUAGAAACAAUUUAUUUGUUCUUUCAACUAUUGUUUAGAUUUAAAUUUUAAACUUUUACUUUCUUUUCAUUGUACCAAGCAGAUUAAGGUAAGCAAAAAUUUCAAAACUGGAAUCUGUUCUUUUAGUUUAAACAAAACUUUUUAGCUUAAGCAAAAUUUUUUAGCUUAAGCGAAAAGUUUUAGCUUAAACGAAAAAAAGAAGCACUAGUCUAUAUUUAACGUCAUUCAGAGAAAUUAACGGAAUGUUCUUGAUUGGUUUGAUUUUUCAAAUUUAGGGACUAAAUUGAUCAUUUUUAAAAAACAAGGACCUAAUUGAAGAAAAUCAGUAAAAAUAGAGAACACUGAAUAUAUUUAACCUAAAAUUUUAAUAAAAUCUUCUCCAUUUAAAAUUAUUGAAAUAAAAUACUAAACAAAAAACAUCUUAAUAAUGAAACUUUUGUUGCUAGUCUUUUAUGGUUCGCAGAAAUUGGCGACGAAUGGGGCACGUCUAAUUGGUUUAUAACCAGCGCGUAAUACAUUUUUGAUGAAAGAAGUGUUGACAUGGAAGUGCGUAACACUCGGCAUUGAGAUCGAAUUCAUCCAAGCAUAUACAACAAAAACACUCAGUCUAUAACACUGUAGAUUUCUUCAACGUGUCAAUGGGUUUAACGAUUGCUGGAAUUAUUCUUAAAGGAUAUUGUGUUGCUGCAUGCAUGCUGCUAUCAGUAACAUUGAUUACAAUCCAUAGAGGAAUUUCUGGGGAUUGAGAUUCCGAAGAAGUAAUAGCAUGAUCAUCAAUGUGGAAGAUUCCUCGAAUUUCAUCAACAACCAUGUUUACUAGUUUGUCAAUAAUGUUAGUGUCGAAGAGUCUGAGCGAUCACAAAAGUUGUUUAAUACUCUGACAACUGCAUAUAAUUAAAGCAAAUAUGUUAACCCGCCAAUGGAUCAUGUACAACUUAACGUCUUUCAUGGUUUGGUAAUCUUCCUUCGACAUUCCCAUACUCAAAUAAGUGUAAUGAAAUCAAUAAAAAAAAAAUGAAGGAGGUUGGUUGAUUCUGCAAAUAAAAAAUGGAUGAAAGAAAAGAAACUGCGGAUGAGAAAGAAUUAUAUCAAUGAAAGACAUAGUGAAGUAACCACCCAAAUCACCAUUAGCCCGAUAAACCACUAUUAGCCUGAUAGAAAGAUGAAUAAAGAUUAAUAGUAUCUUCAAAAUAUAUCAUUCAUACUCCGGUGACAGAAAACAAGGGCUAAGAAGACGCAUCAAUCAGGUCUUUCCAAACUAGAGCCAGUAAUACCAUAUGGGGAGCAGUAAUUCAAAAGUAUCUCGACAUAUGAACAAGGAAUUAUGUUGUAGAUAAAUCUACAGAACUACAUUUAUUGUGGCAUAGAAAACAUGUAGUUAUAUUCGUACACAGUCAGGUUUAGCUCUACGACCAUAACCAAAGAAACUCAAAGAUGAGUGUAAGAAAUACAAAUACCACAUUCAUUCUGUACAAAGGUUCAGGUUCAUCUCAUAAAAGGAGGCAAUACAUAUACUACGAGACAUAAUCCCUUCCCGCCCAUCUCUCCACUACUGACAUUAUAUAUAUUAUAUGGGAAAGAGAUAAUUUUUUAUGUGACAUUAUAUAUCCACACCUGAAACCUAAAGAAAAAUCUGAAACUGAAAGAACCCUAAAAACCUAAAUCACCACCCUGAGCAUCUCUACAUUCUCUCUCCUCGCCACCACAAACACUAACGGGAACUCAACCAACCAUUCAGACCUUCAUCUCGCCACCACAUAGCAUCAGCAGCGCUAUAAAGGAGAAGAGGCAAAACCCUAUCGUGAAGAAAGGAAAGGACUUGAACCCUAGCAUGACCUUCCUUGGCGUCGUCGCAUAACCUGCCUCCAUCAACCUUCGUCUUUGGGCUUCUCAAUAAUCAACAACCCGAACCUGCAAGAAGAAACCCAGAGAAGAAACUCCCAAUUUCCAAAUCACUAAUCCCUAAUUUUUAAUGAGUUUUUCCUAAAUGAAAAAACACUCAUUAAUCAGUUUACCAUAUUUUAAAAUUUAAAAUGAUAUAAAUAUCCACGUAGUAAUCUCAUACUGUGCCACAUCGUAAGUAAAAGACACCUCAAUAUGCCACAUUGCAAGAAAGUUAACUUCGUCCACAACAAUUAAGAAAAUUGAUAUGAAUCCGCAUAAAUAGGAACCUCCGAAUACAUUAAACCUUACACUGAUUUAUUUCUCACUAACAUAAAAUUUUAAUAAAAUUUUCUCUAUUUAAAUUAUUGAAAUAAAAUACUAAAUAAAAAACAUCUUAAUAAUGAAACUUUUGUUGCUAGUCUUUUAUGGUUCGUAGAGAUUGGCGAGAAAUGAGACACGUUUGAUUGGCUUUUAGCCAGCGCGUAAUACAUCUUUGAUGAAAGAAGUGUUGACAUGGGAGUGCGUAACACUCAACAUUGAGAUCGAAUUCAUCCAAGCAUAUACAACAACAACACUCAGUCUAUAACACUGUAGAUUUCUUCAGUCUAUAACCGCAAAUAUAUUUACAGUAUAAGCUAAUAUAAAUUUUCUUUUAACCAUUACACAUUACAAAUUAUACAUUAUCUUUUAUAUAACCACAACUAUAUCAAGUAAAUCGAAUUCAAAUAAAUUUAAAGCAAAGAUUAUAAAAUAAAUUACUUACCAUCAUAAAAAAAAAUCUUCAAUAUAAUUAAGAGAAUUUUAAUAUUUUAAAGGGUUAAAUAUGUUUUUAGUCCGUCAACUAUUGAACGUUUUUGGUUUUAGUCCAUCUUUCAAAAUAAGGUACAAUUUAGUCCUUAAUGUUUUGAAAACUUUGGUUUUAGUCCUCCAAAACUAACGCUGUUAAAAAUCUGUUGUUGUGUCUAAUGUUUGUCCACGUGUGUUAACUGUUUUGCUGCCUCUCUCUUGACACUUUUGAUUGCUUUUUUGGGGCAUUAGGGGUUCUGCAUUUUCCUCCCAUUCUCGCAAAUUCCCGAGACUUAGGGUCUCUUCUUCUCUGCAGACAAACAGAAACCCCAAGGCACUCAAACGUUGGCAACCGCACCAUCCUCACCUCCCCCCAACCGGUAGCUGCGAACCGCGACCCCGGCGUCGCCAGCGAUGACGUCUAUUGCCAGAGCCAUCGUCAACCGACCGCGCCACCGCAUCAACCGACACAAGCCGCAGUUCGUCGCGCUAACGCCCUCGCCCACGAAGCCCGUCGCUGGCGACGAGAUCUUUUUCUGCUCCAUUUUCAUCGUGACAGAACGAAGGAACGACAAGAAGGCGCCGUUAGCCACCAUUGCUGGUGCCGCCAUUGGGUCAGCCCUUCCUGGCCACUCCAGCGGUUUCUUUGGGUUGCCUGGCCACCGCACAGUCUCGUCGGGGUCACCGUUAUGCUCUGAUUGGGGUUUUUGGUGGUUGGUGGGUGAAUAUGGACUGUAAAGGAUGGGUUACUGGGAUUUGGGUCGCGAUUCAAAACAUCGAUUUGCAGGUUCAAGUUUAUGAUUAAAGGUGUGAAGGUUUCUGACUUACAUUAUCUCCUCCUUGCAGGUUUAGAUAGAAUAAUGGAGUGCGACUGAUGGGGUAGUACCUAGGAACCAGCGACUAUCGAUGGUCCAAAGGGAAACUGGGUAUUGGGGGAAAUGGUUGAUGGUUACUCCAUAAAGAUGAAUGGUGGUAGCUUGCUCAAGAGGAGAAACACCAUGGUGAGUUGAAAUGGGCAAGUAUGGUAUCUGUUGUUGAGGAGAAUAAGUUUAUUUCCGGAUGCAUAUUUCUUUUCCAGGUGACCAUCUGUGUUUUAUGAGUCUUCCUAUUCUUGCUCUCGUGAUGAAGGUAUAUGGUGAAGCCAUGUUUGUUGAGUGGAUUACAAAUGAAAGAUGAUAUGUGAUUCUGCUUCUGUUGGCUUUUAUUUACGUUUUCUAUAGCGCUUUUCUGGGUGCGAGUAAAUGGGUAUAUCGAAGUCCAGAUGUUGGGGGAAUCUAUCUAUCAUCUUCGCAACUUCAAAAGAACUCUUCCUUUUGGUUUUAGUUCCCUCUACCUUCUUCGAUUGCUUUUUCCUUUUGGUUGUCCCACGUUCUUGCAGGCGUUGGAAAAUUUGGUUGAAAAACUUUGUUGAAAAACUUGGUUGAAGGCAAAAUGGUUUACUGGUGGCCCAAAUGGUAAAAAAGCAAAAAAGCAAUCACAUGUGUCAAGAAAGAGGCAAUAAAACAGUUAACACACGUGGAGAGACGUUAGACACAUCAACAAAUUUUUAACAGCAUUAGUUUUGGAGGAUUAAAAUCAAAGUUUCCAAAACAUCGAAGACUAAAUUGUACCUUAUUUUGAAAGAGGAACUAAAACCAAAAUCGCCCAAUAGUUGAGGGACUAAAAACAUAUUUAACUUUUUUUUAUUAUAUUAGUAGUUUAUAAACUUUUAUUAUAUUUUAAGAUAUAGUUAUAAAGAUAUAUUAAGAAUAUUUAUAUAUUUAAUUGUAUUUUUUAUUUUAAAAAAUAAAAAUAUAAAAUGUUUACGCAAAUUGUUAUAUAUACUCCCCAACCUAGAGUAGUUAGGUGGGGAAGUAAAAUUAAACCUUGUUCAUACAUGGGCUUCUCGGGUACGAAAUGAGCCACUUCAAAAAGGUUCAUUGCUCCGNCCCAGAAUACUAUUAAUCCAGCAUGGGCUACAUGGGCCCCUAAUAGUUUACUGGAUAAAAUUGAUAAGUCGGGCAUUCCUGGCCCACCAAGCGAAACUGGUAGUUUCCUGGUCAUGACUAGUUAAAGCUAAAGUUCCAUUAAAGAGCGUUUCCACGUGGUAGAACCUCCUCAGGGAAUAUAAGGUUUUCAUGAGGCUGAUCUUGAACUGCCAUCCACGCACGAAUACCUUCGCUUAAGAGAAUAUUUUUGGUGUAGAAAGUCUCAAAUUCAGGAUCUUCCGCUGCGCGGAUUUCUUGAGAAACAAAGUCAUAAGCACGUAAGUUCAGGGCCAAACCAACUACCCCAAAAGCACUCAUCAUAAACCAGUUACUGGUACAAUUAAUAACAUAAAGAAAUGUAACCAAUGUUUAUUGGAAAAAGCAACCCCAAAGAUUUGGGACCAAAAGCGAUUAGCAGUAACCAUUGAAUAAGUUUCUUCAGCUUGGGUUGGGUUAAAAGCACGAAAUGUAUUUGCGCCAUCACCAUCUUCAAAUAAAGUAUUUUCUACGGUUGUACCGUGAAUAGCGCAUAGUAGUGCAGCGUCCAAUACACCAGCAACUCCCAUCAUAUGAAAUGGGUUUAAUGUCCAAUUAUGAUAUCCUUGGAAAAAAAGGAUGAAUCAAAAUAUAGCUGCUACACCAAAACUAGGAACAAAGAACCAACCAGACUGACCCAGUGGAUAAAUAAGGAAUAUAAUAUAUAUAUAUAUAUAUAUAUAUAUAUAUAUAUAUAUAUAUAUAUAUAUAUAUAAUUAAGUUUGAAUUCACGAUAAAAUUGAAAGUUUUUAAUUUAAUUUCUUAUAAACUAUGGUUCAUUAAAUAAAAUUAUACUUUUAAUUGACUUUAUAUUAUUAAAUUUCUUUUUUAAAUAAUGUAACUAUGUGGCUCUUAAUGGGAUGAUAUUACUGUUUUCUUGUUGGUCACCUUCUACUAAUGUUGUCACCAAUAAAAUUACAAUAAUAAAAACUUACGAUUUUCAUAAUUUUUAAUUUUAUAAAAUUAUAGAAUUAUAACACAAUUAAAUAUAUGUAUUUAGUCAUGCUAAAUAUGAUUCUUUUCCUCCAAAAUUUUAAUAUAUUUUUAUUUUUAAAUUUUAAUAAUCAUUUUAAUUCAAUCAGAUUUUCUUUUUCGAAUUAAACACCUUUGGUUUAAUGUUUGAGUUGUUUAUCUUUUUAAAUAUGUUUUUGCUAUGAAAAUGUGUUUGAGAGAAAUAAAUCAAAUUUUAGAUUAAAAGACAAAAAAGGUAAUUUUAAAAAAGAAUUUUUUAUAAAAACAUGAAUAUAAUGAAUGCAUUAUUAUGUUAUUAAAUGCAUUUUUUUUCUAUGCAACUUGUAAGAUAAAAAAGAAGAAGAAAAAUAAAAAUAAAAAUUCGAUGGAAUAAUAGAAUGAUAUGAUUCUAUUACAUACUUAUUAAUGAAAAAGUUUUUGUUUUUGGUAGCUCAAUUGAUGAGAGUAUUACUUUUGGACUACUCGUCAUGUGUCAUGUGAUUAAGUCUUACUUAAUUCAUAAAAUGUUUUGGUUGUUUUAACUAUACUAUUAUUGAUGAGAAGUACAUAUAUGUUUAGUGGUAGAUGAUAUAAUGAAUUGAAUCUUAAUAGUUUAAUGGUUGAUAUGGAUGUUUGAUACCCAAAGAGAAUGAGGUUCAAACCUUGAUUAGUGUGUUAUCAUUAUGUAUGGACCAAUUAUAGAAUGUCACGUAAAUGAUGUUAAAAUGUUAUUAAAGUAUCAUUAUCUUUUUAUGGAAUAUAGAAUUUAUCAUAAUGAACUAAAUUUACUAGUUUAAGUUAGCCAUAAAAGGUAAACAAAAUAAUACUAACAUCAAUAUACAUUGCUAAAGAACUUUAACCUAUAUAUCAAACUAAUUUAGUUGAAAUCCAUUUAAAAAGCCAUCACUAUAUAUCAUUAAAAUAUUUUUAAAAAGCUUUAUUUUGUAACUUAAUUCAUAUAGUAAUUUUGUUUGAAUUAUUAACCGAUAAACAUAAGUGAAAAGAUAAAUCACUGAAACUAUAAUUAGGCUUAUAUGAAUAGCCAUAAAUGAUCCUUGAUUAAAAAAACACCUCAUUGAUUAGAUCUUUCUUUUUUCUGCUGGAAUAUAACCAGCAAAUAACACUAGUGCAUGUACACAUUCAAUAAAACAACCAAGAACAUUGUGUAUUGCUACCAAAGACAUCCACCAAAAAAUUAAUUCAUCAUAGUAUUUAGUGAUAAUAAAAAACACCUUUACAUGAAUGUUAUACUUCAAACAAGAAAAUUUUCAUUACACUAAUUUAUUUCUCACUAACAUAUAAAAUUUCAAUAAAAUCUUCUCUGUUUUAAAUUAUUGAAAUAGAAUACUAAACAAAAAAUACCCUAAUCAUGAAACUUUUGUUGCUAGUCUUUUACGGUUUGCAAAGAUUGGCGACAAACAGGGCAUGUCAAAUUGGUUUGUAGCCAACGCGUGAUACAUUUUUGAUGAAAGAAGUGUUGACAUGGAAGUGCGUAGCACUCAGCAUUGAGAUCGAAUUCAUCUAAGCAUAUGCAACAACAACACUCAGUCUGUAACACUGUAGAUUUCUUCAACGUGUCAAUGGGAUUUUUGGUUGCUGAAACCGUUCUUGAAGGAUAUUGUGUUGCUGCAGGCAUACUGUCAUCAGUAACAUUGAUUACAAUCCACAGAGGAAUUUCUGGGGGUUGAGAUUCCGAAGAAGUAGCAACAUGAUCAUCAAUGUGGAAGAUUCCUCGAAUUUCAUCAGCAACCGUGUUUACUAGCCUGUCAAUAAUGUUAGUGUUGAAGAAUCUGAACGAUGACAGUGGCGAUAACGGUGAUAACAGUGACGAAGAAAACAGUGUCCGCAAUAAAUUUGGAGCCUCUUGGCGAAAGGUUUGGCUCGGUAUAAAUAUAAAAGGAGGAUCUCGUAGUUGAAGUGGAAGAAAUUGAUAACAAAGUAUCAUGCUAAGUUUGAAAAUAGCUCCAGGCAUAAAAGUAGUGAGCUCAGUGCCCAUGAGAGAUAUGCUGUAACGAAAUGGUCCUGAAUAUAGCAUAAAAAAAUAUGAGAUUAUUGAAAAUCACUAUAGAUGAACAUAAAUCGCUAUUUAUGAAACUUACCUGUUGGGGUUAGUGUUGACAUGAUUGAACUCUUGAUAAGUCCUUGAUACUUUCUGCCUGCAGAAUUAUAUUCUUAGUAUUUUUUUUCCAGUAUUCUCCUCAAUAUCUAAUGGUCUUUAUAUAGAGGGAGAUUUAUUUAUUUGUUGAAUUAAAGAUAAAGGGAAAUUAUUGUUUAUAUUUUUUUAUAUCUUAAUGUAAUAUAUUAUUAGGAUUUGAUUUAUUUGUUGUUGAUUGAAAUUAUAUAUCUUUUAUCUUCUUUUUUUUAAUUAGAAUGUUAUUUUUAUAGUUUGAUUUUAUAUUGUUUAAUUAAAAUUUUAUCUUUAGAGCUUUUUUAGUACAGAUAUUUUAUUAUAAGUUAUUUAAAAUAUUAAAAUUAUCUUAAAUCAAAUAUAUUGAACAAUUUUUUUAUGAUUUUAAGUAAUUUAUUUUAUAAUCUCUGUUUUAAAUUUUUUUGAAUUCGAUUUACUUUAUAUAUUUGUGGUUAUAUAAAAGAUAAUAUAUAAUCUGUACUGUGUAAUGGUUAAAAGAAAAUUUAUAUUAGUAUGCUGUAAAUAUAUUUGCGGUUAUUGCUUUUAUUAUAUUAGUAGUUUAUAUGUUUUUUUUUUAUAUUUUAAAAUAUAGUUAAAGAUAAAAUCAGAAUACUUAUAUAUUUUAUUGUAUUUGUUAUUUUAAAAUAUAAUUGAAGAUAAAAUAAAACUAUAAAAUGUUUACGCAAAUUGUUAUAAAUUUAUAUAUAUUAUAUAUAUGAUCUUUUCUCUUCUUAAAUAUUCACAGUAACUUUUUACGUGGAAGUCAUCUUUAUAUAAUGAUUUUUUUUUGGUUAGAAAUAAAAGAAAGUUAAUUGUUUAUUCUUAAUAUCUAAGAUCUUUUUCUUUUAUUUUUUAUAUUUUAUAUUUGAUUCAUCAGCAUUUAAUAUAUAUAUAUAUAUAUAUAUAUAUAUAUAUAUAUAUAUAUAUAUAUAUAUAUAUAUAUAUAUUCUUAUGAUCGAGUGUUGAAGAUUUUCAUGAUUUUAAAUGCUUAUUUUAUAAUCUAGUUGAAUUUGAUUUACUUUAUAGUUGUACAUAAACAAAUAAUUAAGGUGUGAUUUAUAGUGUUGUCAGUUAAUAUAUUUGCAGUUAGUUUUUUUUUUUAUUAAUUAUAUGCCUAAUUUGUAUGUAUGUUUUAAAAUGUAGUUAAAGAUAAGAAUUUUGGUAGAUGUAAUUUGUAUAUUUUUUAUUUUGAUAGAUGUAAUUUGUAUAUUUUUUAUUUUAAAAUAAAUUGAAGAUAAAUAAAAAAUAUGAAAUAUUUACUGUGAAUUGUUAUAAAUUUAUAAAUUAUAGAUAUAAAAUAUGAGCUGGGUUAAUACAUAUAUUAUCUGUUAUUUAUUAUAAAUUAUAAAUAAGCUUUUGUGUGAUAUGACCUAUUAUUAUUAUUAUGUAUUAUUUAUGUAAAAACCUUUUUUUUUUUUUUGAAGUUUUUUAGCAAGUUAUAAGUGUAAAUUUGACUUUUAUGUACACCAACAUGUUAAUAACUAAGAAAUGUAAAUAAAUAUACAUUAAAAUGCUUAUAUAUAAUUAUUAUAAUAUUCAAAAAAAGAUAAGAUGAGAAUGUUGUAAAUUAUUGAGGAUGUAAUGUUAUUUAUUGUUAUUGUGAGAGUAUCAAUACCAAAGCAAAUGAUGUUAUUUUUAGUGUAAUAUAAGUAUCGAAUUAGUUAUGUAGGCUUUAUUAAUAAUUUAAAUCUUAAAUAAGAAUGUAUUAAGGGAUGAAAAUAGAUAAGUUCUUAUCACUCCUUUGAGAACCUAUACGUUAAAUACUACUUAAAUUGAAUUAUUUCAUGGAAUUUUAUAUGAAAAAUAUGAAGAUUAAGUGUACCACAUAUAAAAAAUUGUUGCAAUCAUAAAAUUAAUAGAUUUUCAUAUAUGAAUACAAUUUGACCUAUAAAAUCAAUAAAUUUUUUAAACAAUAUUCCAUAUAAUAUAUAAAAGGAUGUUAGUAUUAAAUGUUAGAACCCAAUUAUGCAUUUCGUAAGUAACUUAGUUCUAGUAUUUAUAUAAAAAAAGUUUACCAAGUUGUUGAUAUAUGAAGAUAGAAUAAUAGAGAAUAUUCAAGUUAGAGGACAAUUUUCUAUUUUGUACAUUAUUUAAUAAAUGGCAGAUAUUUUGAUAAUGCUAAAUUUACUAUCAUAUUUUUUCAAUAUAAUUUGUUUUCUCAAAUAAAUAUAACACUAGAGAUGACGAAAAUAAUAAUAGUAGGGAUGGAAUUUUAUAAAAUGAAUGAAUUGGAAUUAAAUGUUCUAAAACUAAAUUUGAAAGAAGUUUAAGAAAAUUGAACAACUUAUGAAAUAGUUUAAACAAAUUAAAUUUAACUCAUUACGGUUGAGCAAAUUCAAUCUAAUUAAAAGACUCUAAAUUAUUUUCAAAUUGUUUAAAUUAUUUCAAAUUAGAGUAUUUUCUAAUUUCGUAACGUUAAUUCCUCACAGGCAUAAACCAGUACACGCUCAAGAGGAGACUUCACGUACAUUUGAUUUUUUAGUGUUUCAACCACAUCAUUCAAAACCUCAACCCUAAAACAAGUGGCUUUAUCUAUAGGAUGUUGCAUUGUUUCUUCCACAUUAAACGUCACAGUUUCAUCAUGCAAUCUAACCUUGAGAUGUCCAUCAUCCACAUCAAUAUCCUAGCAAUUUUUAUGAACGGUCUACUAAGAACAAUGAGGACUUCACUAUCCUGUUCCAUAUCUAAAAUAACAAAAUCCAUUGGAAAAGGGAAUUUGUCCAUUUUUACCAAAACAUCUUCUAUGACUCCAUAUGGAUGGUUGAUAGACAUGUCAGCUAAUUGGAGUGUCAUUCUUGUAGGUUUUACUUACAUGUCACCAAUUUUCUUCAACAUUGAUAAAGGUAUCAAGUUGAUAUUUGCACCUAAGUCACUUAAUGCCUACUCGAUGGGUAAUUUUUCAAUGGUACAAGGAAUGGUAAAACUUUCUGGAUCUUUGAAUUUAGGUGGUAGAAGUUUUUGGAUAAUAGCAUUAUGUUAAAUUGAUUUUUGUCGCCUAAAAUUAGAACAAACUAAGUUUCUCCACUAAUGUAGUAAAGGGACAACUUAGGUAUCAAUCCACGGACUCGGUACAAUUAAGUUUCAAAAUAUAGAGUUAAUCUUGCUUUUUAUUUACUAACUAUUAACUAUCAGGUGGGGAAAAGAAAUGAAAUCAAUGAAAUUUAAAAGAAAAGAAUAAAGAAAGGAAUAUAUUAAAAAGGAAAAUGAAAUGUAAAGAACUAAAACCUAAACUAGAGUGAUGAAAAGAUAUUAAAUCUAACUAAGCAUACAAAUCAAAACAGUAGCUACUCUAACAUAUGAAUACUAUGAAUUAAUGAUACAAGAAAAACUGGAAGCAACUGAAUAUGGAAUUUAAUGAAAACAAAGAACAUUUAAAGAGAAAGAAGAGUUUGUGCAUAUAACAGAACCAAAAUUAAGGAAUCAGAGUAAGGAAAAUUUGUUAGAAUAAAAAACUAGAAUCAAAUUCAUGUAGAAUUAAUGCACAGAGUGGUUGAUCAUAUAUCAAGAAGACAUCCUGUUAAGAUAAGCCCAUCACAAGGUUUUAAAGUUCAUUUCCAGAACUUAAAAGUCAUUGAUCAUCACUUCCAUCAAAACCACAAUGAAUCUAAAUCCAAUUCAUGCAUCUAAUCAAUAUUAGAUAUGGAAUCUAAACUAAAUGCAACUAAAACUUACAAACCUACUCUAAAAUAUAUAAAACCCUAAUUAAAAUGAACUGAGAGAAGCAAAAAUAUGAAUUACAAUAUAUUUUUUUUCAUUGGACUCAUCUCCAAACUCAAGAAAACAUCUCGAUAAGUCAUGCUCACUGUGGAGUCAUGUAAUUCCCUAAGGAAUUUUAACUAUGUUGAUUCACAGUGUCCAAAUCAAAUUUUCAAAGUUAAACAAUUGAUAAAAGUUAUUCUAAAACAAUAUUUUUUUCUGUUGAACUCAACUCUGACUCAAGAAGACAUCUCGGUCAUGCAUGCCCUUGGGGUCGUUUAAUUCCAAAAAGGAUUUGCAUAUGUGUAGAGUUCUAGAGAUCAACUCAUUUUCAAAUCAAAACACGAAAAAUACGUACAUAAUCAACCAAGAAAUUAGAAACAUAAAGCACACAAAAUAGUAACUGAUACAAUAGGCAUUCAGGAGGAUAUUGGGUCAAUUGAAAGUGUCAGUGUUAGGCCCAAAAGAAAUAUUAGGAGACCCAAAGAUUGGGAUGACUAUGUGCACUGAGAGAGAGAGAGUAUUAUGUUGUUUUGUGAGAAUCUUUUUUGUAAUAACCUUUUUCUUAUUGUGUUUAUGUGGAUACCGUGAUAUACGAAUAAACCGUUAGUGUAUGCAAAGAAUAUAAGCAUUGUAAUGAAAACGGAAAAAGGGGAGAAUAUCAUUGACUAAACUUCUAUCUUUUCUUGGAGGCCUAGUACCUUGAAUACCAGAUUUUCACUCUAAUACCUAUUAUUUGGUGCUUUCAAUGACAACCUCUCAACCUUCUUCCAUAGACCUUCUCAUUGAGCAAGUGUCACAUCUCACAACUCGCAUCGACGAUCUCUCUUUAGAGGUUGCUUCCCUCAAGCAAAAACCCUUAAGCAAUCAUCGUUUUCGAAGCAAAUUCCUAAGAUUCGUUUGGACUAUCCUCGUUUUGAUGGGUCGAACGCACUAGAUUGGAUUUUUGCCGUUACUCGUUUUUUCAACUAUCACCAAACCCUAGAAGCCGACUGUCUUCAAAUUAUUUCCUUUUACAUAGAUGGUCCCACCCUCAGUUGGUUUCAGUGGAUAGAGAGAAAUCACUUCCUUCGUUCUUGGAAGGAAUUCUUACAUUUUUUGGAAACACGCUUUGCUCCAUCUCAUUUUUAGAAUGUUAAGGGACGACUCUACUAGCUUUAUCAGACUGGGUUUGUUCUACAAUAUCUUAAUGACUUUGAAUGCCUUGUAAACUGGGUUAUCGACGUUCCUCCUUCUUUUUUGCUUGAGUGUUUCAUUUCUGGUCUUCGACCAGACAUUCAACGUGAGGUGUCGCCUUCUAGCCAGUCUCAUUUUUGGAAGCGACGAAGUUAGCCAAGCUUCAAGAGGACAAAUUUAACUCUCUCGUACAGCCUCAACGGAGUUCCACUGUACCCACUCCCUAUUCUCUCCUACUGACACAACGUCUAGCUCUUCUCCCUACACCAGUUACUCCAACCGUUCCAUUUAAGCAGUUGUCAGCUUCGGAAAUGCAAAACCGUCGUGACUGUGGAUUAUGUUACAACUGUGAUGAGAAAUAUAAUCCUGGACACCGUUGCAAAUCUCGUUUCUUUCUUCUCGUGCAUGACGACGAGGAGACUAUCCCUUUCGAUCUUCCUCCCGAUGAUUCUAUUGCUUCCACUGUACUGGACUCCGCUCAGUUUAGUUUAAAUGCCUUAUCAGGACAUUUUAAUUUGAAGAUGUUUUGUGUCACAGGACAAAUAUUGGAGCAUUCUGUUCGCAUUGUCAUUGAUAGUGGAAGUUCUCAUAAUUUUCUUCAAUCUAAGCAAGCCCAGGAAUUGGGUCUACCUUUUAAAUCUACGAAAUAACUCUCGGUGAUGGUUGGCAAUGGCCAUGCGUUAACUUGCUCUCAGGUUUACACUCAAGUUCCUCUCUUAAUCCAGAAUCAAGCUUUUUUGGUGGAUUUUCAUUUAAUUGAACUAUACGGGCUUGAGGCCGUGUUGGGAGUGCAAUGGCUUCAGAGUUUGGGUCCUAUUUUAACUGACUAUGACCGACUUACCAUGCAAUUUAUUUGGUCAGGCCAGAUGGCCAAAUUGAUAGGUGAUGUUAAUAAUGUCUCUUUGCUAAUUUCGGUUCAUCAUUUGCGUAAAUUGUCGAAGUGGGGCCAUAUUGCUUAAUUUUUUCAUCUUACUGUGCUGCCGACUGUGUUAGCUUUUGUUGCGUACUUUUCUGUGACUAUAACUAAUAAUCCAGAACUAUCGACUUUAUUGAAUCGGUUUCAAUCUUAAUUUGAGGAGCCUUCCUCUUUACCCUCUGAAUGUCCCGCUAUCCAUGCUAUUACUUUAUUGCCCAACUCUGCUCCUUUGAAGGUUCGCCCAUACCAUUAUCCUUAUUUGUAAAAGCAAGAAUUUGAAGCUCAAGUAGCCUGCAUGCUUAUUUCAGGGGAGAUUCGACCUAACACCAAUGCUUUUUCAUCUCCGGUCCUCUUGGUUAAGAAGAAGGAUAAUACUUGGCGAUUUUAUGUUAACUACAGGGCUUUGAAUGCCAUCACUAUUCCAGAUAGUUUUCCCAUACCCACCAUUCAUGAAUUACUAGAUGAAUUGGGAGUUGCCAUUUAGUUUUCCAAAUUGGAUUUACUACCAUUUGGUAUUUUGAAUGCGCUCAUAACUUUUCAGGCCACCAUGAAUGCCUUAUUUCGACCGCAUCUGCGUAAAUUUAUUAUCGUUUUUUUUUUAUGACAUAUUGAUCUACAACACUACAUGGGAGGAUCAUUUAUUACACUUGCGAAUCACUUUUAAUUGUUUUAUGCCAACCACUUUUACUUUAAACAAUCCAAAUGUUCAUUUACUUUACAACAGGUUGAGUAUUUGGGACAUGUGGUAAGUGCUGGAGUGGUAGGUCCGGAUGCUUCUAAAAUUGAGGCAAUGUUACAGUGGCUACCACCUACCUCUGUGAAAGCAUUGAUAGGAUUCUUAGGUGUAAUGGGAUUUUAUUACAAAUUCAUUAAAGGCUAUGCUACUUUGGCCUCUCUGCUCACAGAUUUACUUCGUAAGGAUGCUUUUCAUUGGUCUUCUGAAGCUCAGUUAGCUUUCGAUAAGCUGAAGCAUGUGAUGUCCACAGCCCUAGUCUUGGCUCUACCGGAUUUCUCGAAGCCUUUUGUUAUUCAAUCAGAUGUGUCUGGCAUAGCUAUGGACGUGGUUCUCUCUCUCAAGAUCAACGACCAAUUGCUUUCUUUAUUAAAAAAUUUUGCUCUCGGAUGAUACAACCAUCUACGUAUUUACGAGAGCUGCAUGCCAUAACUACCGCCAUUAAAAAGUGGCGACAAUAUUUCUUGGGACAUUUUUUCAUCAUCCAAACUGAUCACAAACCCCUAAAAGAUUUGUUGACGCAAAAUGUGCAGACUCCAGAGCAGCAAUUUUAUGUGAGUAAACUCAUUGGAUAUAAUUAUACGAUUCACUAUCGUGCUGGUAGUUCCAAUGUGGCUACCUAUGCUCUUUCUCGAAUUAUUGCAGAGGAUAAUUUGGGUCAUUCUUAUGUCUUCACUAUCCCUCACUUUCAAUUUUUGGAAGAAUUAAAGGAUAACUUACAGGGUGAUGUUAGUUUUACUCAACUUUUACAGGAUAUAAAUCAGGACUCUGCUGCUUUUUCAGAUUAUAAAUUGAAAGAUGGAUUGAUCUUUUAUAAAAAUUGAAUCUGGUUGCCUGCUACGUCUCCCUUUCGUGAGACCCUGAUGAGAGAAUUUCAGGCAACCGCUUUGGGUGGGCACGUGGGUCUUAUUAAGACACUUCAUCGAUUGCAAGAGAAUUUGUUUUGGCCCUUUAUGACUAAGGAUUUGAAGACUUUCAUUCGCAACUGUGUGGUGUGCCAACAAAUUAAAUAUUUACCUCCAGAAACCAGCUGGGUUGCUUCAACCUCUUCCAUUGCCACAUCAUGUUUGGGAAGACUUGGCCAUGGAUUUUAUUACCUGCCUUCCAUCUUCGCAUGGGCACACUUCCAUUUUGGUGGUUGUUGACUGUUUCUCCAAAGCAGCCCAUUUUGCUACUCUUCCUACACAGUUUUCGGCAUAUCAAGUGGCUAGACUUUUCUUUGAUGUCGUGGGCAAACUACAUGACAUGCCAAAGAGUAUUGUUUCUGAUCGUGACCCUUUAUUCCUCAGUAAGUUUUGGCAAGAAUUGGCAAGAAUUAUUCAAAGCUAGUGGGACACAAUUGCGGAUGUCUUCUUCUUAUCACCCAGAGACUGAUGGACAAUUGGAGGUUGUAAAUCGAACUCUUGAGCAAUAUCUGCGUGCUUUUUGUAAUGCACAACCAAUCAAAUGGAGUCACUUCAUUCCCUGGGAAGAAUGGUGUUAUAACACAACUAUCAAUUCAACAACUGGAUACACCCCAUUUGAAAUUGUCUAUGGAUGAUCUCCUUCUUCUUUUUCCGGGAUAUAUAUUAGGUCAAUCACAAGUGGAGGUUAUUGAUCAUUUACAUAGCUCAUGGGAUAACAUUAUAUCCACUUUACGUCGAAAUUUACAAAAGGCUCAGGCACGUAUGAAAUCAAUGGCUGACGUUCAUCAUCGUGAGGUUCAAUAUGAGGGGGGAGCGUGGGUUUAUGUCAAACUCAGGCCAUAUCGCCAAACUUCGCUUGCCGAAAAGACUCCACAGAAAUUGGAAAAACGUUAUUUUGGACCAUUUCAAAUUCUUAGUCAGAUCGGCCCGGUGGCCUAUCGAUUGGCCCUUCUUGAGACUUCAAAAAUCCACCCUGUAUUUCACUGUUCUGUUUUGAAACCACAUCUUGGAGCUCCACCUUCAGUAGCUGGCACGCUUUCGUCAAGUAAUUAUAAUAAUGGUCCUUUACUUAGUCCAUUGGUCAUCUUAGGAACAUGUGAGAAUAAUUCCAAUUUGCAAGGACUCUAUCCUGAGGAAGCCACUUGGGUGGAUAUGCAACGUACUUUCAACCUUGAGGACAAGGUUCUUAUGCAAAGUUCAAGGAAUGAUACAAUAGGCAGUUAGGAGGAUAUUGGGUCAAUUGAAAGUGCUAGUGUUAGGCCGAAAAGAAAUAUUAGGAGACCUCAGUUUGGGAUGACUAUGUGCACUGAGAGAGAGAGAGAGUAGUAUGUUGUUUUGUGAGAAUCUUUUAUGUUAGAACCUUUUUCUUAUUGUGUUUACGUGGUUACCAUGAUAUAUGGAUAAACUGUUAGUAUAUGCAGAGAAUAUAAGCAUUGUAAUGAAAACGGAAAAAAAGGGAGAAUAUCAUUCACUAAACUUCUAUCUUUUCUUGGAGGCCUGGUACCUCGAAAACCAUAUUUUCACUCUAAUACUGUCGCAACCGGAAUCACGAUGGGACGACGAUCCAAAAAAGAAAACGGAUUUUGAAAAUGUUUUUUGGAGUCGCCACCAUAGUUUAUUUUGGAAAACUACGGAAAAACCAUAAAAUGAUAAAGCACGGUCCACGAAAACCAAAUAUUGGGUUCGGGAGUCGGUUACGUGUAAGGAAGGUAUUAGCACCCUACAACGCCUGCCCGAAGGCAGUACCUUUAAUUAAAUACGUGAAUAAAGAUGUGGUUUGCAAAAUGUUUAACUAUCCCAAAAAGAAAAAUUUUAAAGGAACAAAAUAUAUUUUUUUUAUUUUUUUUUUGCCCAACAAGGAUUGACCUUGCUCCUACAUAUUCUCAAAAUGAGAAAUCAGGGUUACGUAGUUCUGGCUGAAAAGUUGUUUGCUGUUUGAAAAUGUGAAUGUUUUAUAUUUUUGGUAUAUUUUUUUAUGUGAGAAAAAAGAAAAGGUCUCAGCAUGAGGACGAUGCGUGCGAUCACACACGUGCUUAAACCUUUAAAACAUAUAUUUUUUUAAUUUUUAUAAAAGGAGAAAAGGUCUUAGCACGAGGACGAUGCGUGCGAUCACACACGUCCUUAAGCCUUUAAAACAUAUAUUUUCUUCAUUUUUAUAAAAGGAGGAAGGGUCUUAGCACAAGGACAAUGCGAGCGAUCAAACACGUGCUUAAACCUUUAAAACAUAUUUUUUAAUUUUUAUAAAAGGUGGAAAGGUCUUAGCACGAGGACGAUGCAUGCGAUCACACACGUGCUUAAACCUUUAAAACAUAUGUUUUUUUUAAUUUUUAUAAAGGAAGAAAAGGUCUUAGCACGAGGACGAUGCGUGCGAUCACACACGUGCUUAAACCUUUAAAACAUAUUUUUUAAUUUUUAUAAAAGGAGGAAAGGUCUUAGCACGAGGACGAUGCGUGCGAUCACACACGUGCUUGAACCUUUAAAACAUUUUUUUUUUAUUUUUAUAAAGGAAGAACAAGUCUCAGCACGAGGACGAUGCGAGCGAUCAUACACGCGCUUAAACCUUUAAAACAUUUUUGGAUAUUUUUAUUUUAUAAUUUUUAUAUUUUUAUCUUUCAUUUUUGUAAUUUUUACUAUAGAAAGUUAUAAGAAUAAUAAUUAUAUUUACAUAGGAUUUAAUAAAAAUUAUAUUGGCCUAAGUUUUUAAAAUAAAACGAUAACGUAAUAACGAUAUUUACAUAAAGAGAAAUAACGCAUAAAAUAGAAAACAAAUUAAAACUAUAUUUUUUUGUGAUUUUUAUAACAUAAAAAAGGGUAAGUAAAAGUUUAAAAUAUACAAUAAAAUUAACGCAUAAUAAUGAGACAAUUGGUACAGUGAACAAAAACGUAUGCAGUGAGAAUUAAAAACGUGUAUGUGGUGAUCAAUAUGUAACAAACAAAAACAAGAAAAAAUAUAAAAUAAAAUAACAUAAAAAUAAGGAUGUGGGGUUAAUAAUUAUAGGAUACGCGAAGACAAUAAUAGGAAAACACACAUUAUAAUUUAGAAAAUAAAAAUAAGGUUGCAGAAAAUAAAAUCGAAGAGAAAAGGGUGUAGGUGAAAAACUGGGGUAUUGCACAGAAUAUUUAACCCAAGCCUACAUUCUUCAAGAAACCAUAGGUUUCUUCUGCCUCUUCUUCUUUUUCUUUGUUCUCUUAUGUUCUCUUUUCGAAAUUCGAUUAUUUUCCUCUUUUUUUUCUAUUCCCUUAUGCUCUCCUUCCGAAGUUCAAUUCUCUCUUUCUUUUUCUUGUUUACAAGGUGCAUAUUUAUAUGCACACAUUGUAAUAUUAUUGUGAUCUUGCCUUAAUGACGAAUUAAUUGACAAUUAACAAAACAAGGAAAGAGAUGGUCUAAUAAAUCAAAUUAUAAUAAUUGUCAGAAAAUUAUCCAUUAAAAGGAAAUCAUGUUUUUUCUUUUUAGGAAGAAACUGAAUGCAGCAAUCAAUAUAUUAUUUUUAAUUAUUGCUUAAAAUUACUGGCAUAAUGUUGAUUCAAAUUAUUAUCAAAUAAAACAAAAUUCCAAAAAAAAAUUCUAAAGUGAUCUAUCAUGCAUUAAUAUUAAUUGCUUAUGGGCAUUUUUCCAAGGAAAUCAAAUCCAAUUCAUCACGUCCAACACCUCUCUCAUUUUAUUCACGUGCACUCCCCUUUUCUUUUUUCCCUUCUUCCUUAUUUCCUUUUGUUUUUCUUUUUCGUUUUUUCUCUUCUUUUUUUUUCGUUUCUUUUUUCUUUUAUUUUUUGCUUUUAUUUUUCAUUUCUUUUUUUCUUUUAUUAUUUUUUUCUUUUCUUUUCUUUUUUUGUCCUUUUUUUUCAAAAUGAAUAUAAAAAAUAAUAAUAAAGAAAACUAAAUCAAAUAGCAAAUAGUAAAAAUAAAAUAAGACAAAAAUAAAAACAAGUCCUAUUAUUUAGUCACCCGGACGAAAUUAGGUAUUAACAAAUACCUAUCAGUAACACAAUGUAAAAAAAACUUUAUUAAGAAGAAACGAAAAUUACAAAAGAAUGUACCCAACAAAACGCCCAAUCGAAGCCACCACGGGCUGUCACCCCGUGAGUGUUUACUUCAAAUGCAACGAAAACGAAAAUCUACUCAAUAGAAAGCGUAAAAAAAUACCCAAUCUACAAAGCGUAAAACUGUGUAUCUGGAAGUGUCUAAGGUAUGUAAAUUAUGUACAUGAGAAACCCCUUUAUAUAGGGUUGAAGAAAGAAGAAAAAAGAAGAAGGAAACUUUUUGAACCUUGCUCGCUUGAAUCUUCCUUUCUAUGCUUCCUCCCCAUCAGACGACUCUCACUACUUCUUCAACUUCAGCCCUUCGAUCACUCGAGCUUCGUCUUCUCUGGUUACGGGCAGUCUCCACCUCGCCGGUUUAGUGGUACAAGCCAUUCAAGCUUUCCUCUCUUCGUCUCUUGUCGCCCAAGCUCUAGGGUUCCUUUCUCUUUCUCCUCAAAAUGAAUUUCUUGAGCACCUUUGCAAAUGAAAAUAAGGAGAAGAGACCCCUAUGGCAGUAGCAGCUCUAGCGCCAAAACGCUAGGUUCCAUUGAUUGAGAGUCCAAUUUCACUUCUGAACCAAUUCGCCAAACGCAGUGACCCAAAUCCAACCCAAUUUCUUCCAUUUAAUCUGUCCAGCAACACCCCAUUUACUUGUGUUGAUUAGGUUCUUCAGAUGCAACAUUGAGGUAUCAGCAGUGUGCCUAAUUCAGGUAUAACCAACCCAACUAUCCAACCAGUGGCCCGAUCAAAUUUGCAUUAGUUGUAACGCCUCAAAACGACACUGUCUUCACUAAGACACAGGCCCAAUAGCACAUCAGAGCAAUGGCCCAUUCUUCUAAUGCAGCAAAAAAUUUAAAUUUCAGCAUUGGCCUAGUAUUGCUUCUGCUGACAUGCUCAAUCUAAUUCAGAUGGGCCUAAAAUCUCUCUUGCAGUAGUCCAAAUUCAAGUGUGGCAGCAACUUGGCUUCUCUAACAACAAUGAGGGCUCAAUCUACACAAAAAUAUAGGGGUCAAUCAACAAACAAGAGAAAGAAGAAAAAAAUUAUACAAUUAAAAUCUAAUUAAAAAAACAUUUUUAUUAAAAGAUUUUUAAAAAAAUAUUAAUUUUCUAAUUAUUUACAAACACUAAAAAUACUCCUAAAAACCUAUUUUUAACUACAAUUCUAUAAAACUAAAGAAUUAAAGGAAAAACCUAAAACUAUCCUAAUUUUAAGCAAUUAAAAACUAAAGAAUCCUAAGAAAAGAUUUUUAACCUAGAAAAAUAUGCAAAUAUAGAGUGUUAUCACACUACAAUUCCCUUGCACUUCUAUUAUUUCUUCUUCAAUGUAGUUUCUCUUCUUGGUUAACAAAUCCUUCAUGAAUCUUACAUAUGAAGGCAUUUGUUGAAGUGCUUUAGAAAAAGGAAUUGUAAUCUCCAACUUCUUGAAAAGAGCCAUAAAUCUAGAGAAUUAGCUUUCCUUUUCCUUCCUAGAUAAGGUCUUGGGGGUAAGGUAAAGGCUUCAUAAUUUGUUUUCCGUUAUGACUCUCUCCCUCAUCUUUCUCUUCAACUUCCUCUUCUUUCUCAACAUUGACAUCUUUUUUCUUAUCCUCUUUCCUUACAACUACACCAUCCAACACCUUACCACUCCUUGUAGUGACAGCCUUGCAACGUUCUUUAGGAUUAGGUUCAGUGUUUGCUACAAAAAUAUUCUCAGGUUUAUCUUCCAAUUUCUUAGCCAAUUGGCCAAUUUGAACUUCUAAAUUCCUAAAGGAAGAUUUCGUGCUCUUUGAUUAGACAUGGACAUUUGCAUAAAUUGACGAAGAAUCUCUUCAAGUUUAAAUGUCCUGUCAUACAAAUAUGGUUGUUGUUGUUGUGGUGGUCUAUUAGAAGAACUAGUUUGUCCUAUACUAGGAUGACGUCUCCAUCCUUGUUUAUAAUUGUCAUAAUUUCCUUUACGACCCUGAUUUCCCAUAUAAUUCACCUCAUCCUUAGUAGUGGACUGAACAACACAUUGUCCAUUAAGAUGAUCAGCACCACAUAAUUCACAACCUUGCACGACUGGUAGAUGUUGAGCUUGAGAUACAUUUUCAAGUUCUUUUGGUAAUUAGGAAAGUUUCUUCAUUAACGAUUCCAACUGUUGAGUCAUAAUUUUAUUCUGAGCCAACAAUGCAUCUUGGGAUUAAAGCUCAAACAUACCUUUCUUUUGAGGUUGACCUCUCUUACUUUGCACAUCAUUAUCACUAGCAGUCAUAUUUUCAAUUAAUUCAUGGGCUUCAUCAGGUGUCUUCCACCUAAUAUUACCUCUAACUGAGGCAUCUAACAUUAAUUUAGUGCGAGAUUUCAAUCCUCCUAAGAAAAGGUUAAGUUGAGUAGGGAUAUCAAAUCCAUGUAUAAGGGCUUCCUUAUCAAUCCUUUAAAUAUAUCCCAAGUUUGACUCAAUGACUCCUCAAGUUCUUGUUGAAAAGAUUAAAUCUCUUGCUUUCCUUUGUUAAUUUUGGAUUGAGGAAAAUACUUAUGCAAGAAUUUUGCCACAACAUCCUCCUAAAUAGUUAGACUCCCUUCCCGAAAAGAAUUUCACUAGAGUUUGACAUUACCAGCCAAAGAGAAAGGAAAAAGGCUAAGUCUUAUUGCCUCAUCUGACACAUGAAGAAUUUUCACAGUAUUACAAAUCUCCAAAAAAUUGGCCAGAUGGGUAUAAGGAUUUUCAUGUGACAAACCAUUGAAUUGAUUGCUUUAAACAAGAUGAAUCAAAGUUGGCUUCAUUUCCAUAUGAGCAUAAUUUACCACUGGACGGGCUACGCUAUUAAAAUUUGAAGGUAUUGAAACCGAAGCAUAGUCCUCCAAAGUACGUCGAACUCUAUCUUAUCCUUCAUCCUGAUUUCCUACCAUUUCCUUGUCUUCUAGAUUAGAAGAAGAAAGAAUGUUUGAGGUAGAACUUAAGCUAGCUUCCCUAGCUGUUUUUUUUUUUUUUCUAUUUUCUCUCCUAAAUCUAUUGUUAUUCCUACGUGCUGUUUUCUCAAUUUUAGAAUCAAACAACAAAUUUUCAGCUUUUGUUCUACUUCUCAUGCAGAACAAACAGCACUAUGAAGCAACUAAAGCAAAUAACUAAAAACAAAAUACAACCUAUCCACAAAAGUUAAAAGACAAUGGAUAUAUACAAAUAAUGAAACAAAAUUGAAAUUGGUAAACAAUCAAACAAUUGGACUAACAGUAACAAUCAAAUUCCCCGACAACGGUGCCAAAAACUUGGUAACCUUUUUGGCAAGUAUACCAAAUCGUUUCAAGUAGUAAAAGUAAGUACAAAGUAUCGUUUUCCCAAGGGAAUUGAAUUACAUUGUCUAAUUGAAUUUAUUUACCAAAAGCAAUUUAGUACUGAGAGCAAUUUGAUUCAUGAAAUUUUAAACUGAAUAAAAUUAACACUAUAUUAAAAUUCACUAUUGAAAAUUUAAAAGAAAGUUUCAUUAGAAUUGGGUUCCUGAAUCACGUUACAGUAACAUUCUAUACAAUAUUUCAUACGUUCAAACAUUCACAUCACUGUAUACUUGGUUCAAUUGCUCAAAUCAAGUUCUAAAGAUAUAUGUUAGUUAUUAAUCCCUUAAUUCACUUAACAUAUAAAUUCACAAUAUAAUCUUAUGCUUAAGAAUGACUAACAUAUAUUCCUAACUUCGUUCAUUUUGGUUACUCUUUCUUAUGUCAACAAAUAAUUUCACUUUCCAGUAAUCAUAAAUGUUCAAAAUUUCAUUAUAUUCCUAUAUAAUGAUAAGAAAAUAAAGAAGAGCAUUUAAACACAAAAUAUAUUGAACAUGAAGAUUACUGGUGGACUGUCGCAGUCCACACAAAUUUGAUUGCAAAUUAUAAAUGCAGUAUAGCUAGGGAAUGACCCCUAGGUCGUCUCCCAAGGACCAAUUUCGCGGUUCAAGAAUCGAGUCUAACACGAAAAGGGAGGGGGGGUUUGUGAAAAUGGUUUUGCAAAAAUUAAAGAAGUCAAUAAAGACAUAGAUGCAAACAAACUAAGUUAAGCUAGCAUGGUAAUUAAACUAACAUUAUUAAAAACCUUAGACAACAUUCAAACAAAAUAAAAUAAAAUACUAGACCCCAACAAGACAACAAACAACUACCUAACACAGUUAAAUUAAAUUAAAUGCAAAACUAAAUUAGAGAAACUAAAAAGCAACUAAUCCUACUAUAAAAUUAAUUGAAAACAAAGAAAUAAACACACAUGCCUUUUCCUCUAUCAAUUAUGUGACAAUACAUGCACCAACUAAAGAAAAUUCAAUUCUUGGAAUGGCCUAAAAACCUCAUGGUCGUGACCUCCCAAGCACACCAACUCCAAAUUUGCUUUCUUUCUUCAAAUAACAAUUGAAUAAUGUUUUCCUUCUCCCAUGUGCUCCAAGAAAGUGUUUUCUUCUACUUUUUACCAUAGAAAAUCAUGUUCAUCUCACUCCCCAAAAGACCAAAACCGUUUUCUCUCUCUUCCAAAGCAAAAAGCAACAUUUCCUUAAAUGGUCCAACACAAAAGUGGAAUUUUUCUAUCAAUGUGCCACAUGUACAUGGUCAAAGGGAAUUAAACUAAAGAAAUGCCUUCUCCUCUCCUCUUAAUGCACGGACAUUGCUCACCAAACAACAAUUCACAAUUCAUAUUCUCUCCAAAACCCAACACACUCCCCUUCCUUCAAAUCAAAUGAAAAUUCCAAAAGCAAUGCAACCUUGGAGACCGUGUGCCUUCCAACAAUCACCAUAACACCUUCAUUCCAAUAUCCAAGUGCAAAAUGAAAUUCUUCUACAAUGGAAUCCCUGUAUUAUUGGUUCAACACCCAAAAAGCAACCCAAUAAAUCUCUUCCUUCCAAUCUUCAAAUACCAAAAGCAUACAAGUCAACCUCUCAUUCCAUAAAAGCAAAAACAUCUUUUGUUCUUCAUUUCACGGCUGAAAUGGGUGCAGCACAAAACAACUUCAUCUCACCAAACUACUUGCAUCAAUCAAAGUAAAAUGCACAAGAAGAAAAGGGGUUUAGCUCAAACAAUCAUGAAUCAACUCAAACUUUCUUCACUCCAAAACUCAAUAGGAACCAUAUUCUUUUUCAUUCAACAAGGGAAACCAAAAUAUAAUCACUUGAAUGGUGCAGCAAAGAGGAAACGAAAAUGAAAAUUGGGUCUUGGUUCAACCGAAGAAACCACCAUGAAAAUGAAAAGAACCACCUCCAAGCUCAAGCUUUCAACAUUCAAAUGAACAAUGCAAGAAGAGGAGUGAUAGAUCUCCCUUCCAUUAAGCAAGAAUAAGUAAAGUUGCAAGCAAGAGAAGAAGAAAAAUAUGUUCUUGAUUCAAUCCAUGCUCAAAACCGUAAGGGCACACCAAAGCUCCCAAGAGAGAGUUCAUACAAGGCAAAGCAAAAUGAAAGUUUAGUAUGAAGUGUGCUUGGAGUGUGUCUCGGCAAUCACACUUGAAAAUGCCGUCCCACACAUAAAAUGAUGGGGUCCACCUCCUAAAAUGAAACCCUAGCCUAAAGCCAAGUGUCCCACACAUUGAGCUUCUACAAAAUUUCCACUAAAAGGGCCCAAAAACACCUAAUCUAAUUAAGAUUUCUAAAAAAACGAAAUUACAACUUUAUUAAAAUGGAAAUGACUAAAUGUUGAGUCUUGAAUGAUCAUGCCACCAUCCCUAAUGCUCCAAAUGAUGUUUCCCAAAAUUUCCUUGCAACCAAAAUACACUUAAUCAACUCAGAAAACCCAAAUUAGCACAAUUACGAAUUUCCGACCAAAUUAAGCAGAAUUCGGAAAACGGAGAAAAAACAGACAAUUAAACACAAUUCCCUGGUUUAUUUAAGUGCAAUAAACUAAAUAUAGUUCAAGAAAUAACCACUCAUCAAUUACAUAAAAUGAAUUCAGUACAUUCAAUUUCAAUGAAGCUUUACUUUACAUUUUUAGUAGUAAAUUUUAAUAUAAUGUUAAUUUUAUUCUGUUUAAAAUUUCAUGAAUCAAAUUGCUCUCAUUACUAAAUUGCUUUUGAUAAAUAAAUCAAAUUAGGCAAUGUAACUUAAUUCCCUUGGGAGAACGAUACUCUAUACUUAUUUUUACUACUUGAAACGAUUUGGUAUAAUUGUUAAAAAGGUUAUCAUUGGGUUACACUUAUUAAAUAUCAUUCCUAAUCCACUUGUUUUAUAGAUAAUUUUGUAUUAUGGAAGUACCUCUAGGAAUUUAAAGAGCUUAAGCAGUCACAGGAGCAAGCAAAACAACAAAAAAGAAGGGUUUUGAAAUGUUGGUUCUCGGGUAUAGCUGCAAUUGAGCGUCACUUGCCUCGACUUUCUACAGUUGGGGCACAACUGAAUGUCAUUCAUCUCGAUUUUCUACUGUUGGGGUGCAACUAGGCUGUAGCUGAGUGUCAUUAGCCGCUAGGGUGCAGUUAAACGUCAAUUAUGCUAUUUUGGGCGUGCAUAUAUGGUUUUUAAAGUUUGAAAAUGCGAAGGGAAAUGGUCUUUGAGGGUUUAAAGGUGCGAUAUCACUCAGAGGAGGACUAAAAAGGCUGCUAGGGUUCGUGAGAACACUUGCUUCCUCCUCAUGGGUUCCUUUUCUUCUUCUUCCAUGACCAUUUGGUCUCAACUUCAUGAAGUUCCGACCCAUCUUGCUUCUUAUGUAAACUCCUCGCACAACAAUCACUAUUCUUCUAAAACAAAUAGAAAUCCAACCCAUACUCCAAAACUCAUAAACACACAACCACAACAACACUUCUAACUCUCUCACUCACUCACUCGUCUCUUCCAGUAACCGGAAGAGAAAACUCACCCCCUCACACCCCACACACUCUAGAUUUAAAGUAUAGAAAUGUACCCCGCAUGGAAAGCAUAGGAACAUGGAAUGAAGGGUUCCAAACAUAUCAAAGAAACACGAUUAUAUAUAUAUAUUCAUACAUGAAACACAACAAAGAACAAAAAACAUGCACACUUUCACACUCACCACAAGUUUUAAAAUACCCAUGAUAUAUACUUUGCAUGUCAUACCAGGAGAAACUCAUGCAAGCACCUCAUCAUGCAUAUAUAAUAUAGCUUUAAACUAAACCCCACCUUUCACAAAAUUUAUAUACUCAUGGUUCUUCCCUCACAUACAACAACAAAACAUAAGCCUAAGCAACCACCAUCAAGUAUUCAUACAUAUUAUAGAUUGAAAGUAACCCCACCCCUCACAAAAUAUAUUCCAGGGUUCCUCCCUUUACCUUUAGUUGUAGAGAAUUUUCCAAGGGUUCUUUGAUUGCAAAGUUUCCUCUCCUCUUGUUGCAACACCAAGGUCACUCCACACCUCUUGGUUCCUCUCCAACACACAAUUAAGGGUAGCAAAAUUAGAGACCUCUUCUCUCUCACAAAUGCUCUAUUUGGUGUUAAAGUAAGGGUAAGGUUUCACUCUCUUACGGUUUCAAAAUUUAACACCCCUGCCAAAAGGCUUCUCCAAAGCCAAAACAAUAACUUGCACCAUGCACCAACCGAGGGAGCAUAAAACCACAAAGGCCCAAAAAGUGACGUCACUUAAACUUAUGGGCCCAAAAAGUCUCACUAAUGAGCUUUUGCUUUCUGCAACCCCAUUGCCCAUUAUUACUAACUGCUGACAAUAAAAGAUUAAAAUAUCCUCUUCACCACCAGAAAAAAAAAAUCAUUUUAAAAAUUUUUUGUUCAGAAUAUUUAUGUGUUUUGAAAACUUUAUUCUAAAAAAUAUGUUUUGGAAAAUAUGGGUUUUGAAACUUCUUAUUAUGAAAAUCUCAUUUAAAUAAUUUUAUUUAUGAAAAUUGUAUUUCAAAAAUUGUCUUCAAAAAAAUUUGAAAACUUUGUUCUAGAAAAUUUACAAAAGAUAAAAUAUGGUUACUUUAAAAAUUAUUGGGGUGGCAAAUAAUUAUUGGAAUGGAGGAAGAAAAGGCCAACCUGUGCUAAAUUUUAAGCUUUGUUUGGUACAUUUGAAAUACCGGAGAAAUUGAGAGAGAAAAAAAUAGUUAGGAAUCGGAAAUUCUUUUAUUGAAGAAAAUUAGAGAAAAGAGAAAUUGAAAAAGGCUAAGUUUUACAUUAAAAAUAGUAAAAGAAAACAAUGAAAAACGACUUACAUUACUGGGGACUUGUAAGUUGUAUGUCAUAAGGAAUAGUAAAUCAACUAAGCGAUACUUUUGAGUUUAUUUUGAAGAACUUUUUUAAUAAGCACUUUUAAAAGAAAAAGUUAAAAUUAAUGAUUUUAUAAAUGAAAACUGUUUUAUGCAAACUUAAAAUUAUUAUUAGUUAUAAUAAAUUAAUUUAAUCUUUUUUUUUCUAAAAGGUUUAUAAAAAAAGGUUUUCAUAAUUUUGUUUUUUGCUAGAAGAUUAAUCAUAUCACAGUCUUUUGUUAACAUUCAAUUUUGUUAAUGUACUUAUAUUGAAUCUUGAAAAUAUAUUGAUAUUAAUAUAUUAAAAAAUAUAUUUCAAGUUGUAUUAAAUGUAUUUUAGAAUCCAAAUUAUGAAAGUUUGAAAUUUAUAAUUAAGUUUGUAAUUUGAAUUCAUGCGUACGAGUCUCUCUAUACAAGAAAAAUUCUCUAUCUUUUGUUGAAUAAAAUCUAUUUAUUAUAUAUUUUUCAUGUCUUCCUUUUAAAUUUUUUUUCUCAAAAUUUAAAAUAUAUCUACCUUCAUAAAAUUUAAAAAAUGACAUAAUUAAUAAAGGACCAUUUAUUAAUCAACUACUAAACUAACAUAACCUCAACCAACACGAAAGUUUACCUAAAAUGACCUAUUUAUAUAAAUAAUUAGAUUUGACCUUGAUACUUCCAUAAAACCUACCACACAGAGUGGGUUCAAUCUAUUUAAAAUUCUUGUAGAUGUUAAAGGGUUUAUCAUUGUUUUCUUCAAACUUUGAAUUGUUGGAGAACUUACACUUUAAUAUUCACAAAGUGAUAUAAGAACACGAGAAUCUAAAUAAAUAUUUAAUUACAUUUUUUAUUCUCAAUAACUUUUGUAAUAGUUUGAUUUUAGUUUUUCAAAUUUUUAUUUUUUCACUUAAAUUUGUUAGAUAUUACAAAUAUGUAACUAGUGAUGUCAAAACGGCACCCAGCUCAAUCUGGUCUGGCCCACUAUGGGUUGGUCAUUUAGCGAAUCAACCUAACUCAAUUCAUUUAUUAGCGAGUCAGAAAAAUUUGAACCCGGCUCGACCCACCAUGAGUUAGUGGAUUAAACGGGUUGGCUCACUAGCUUACUUAAUUAUAAUUUUUUUAAAAUAAAAAAAAAAUUUCAAACUUUUUGUAAUUCAAAUCUAAAUAAAUUUCACUUCCAAAAUGAUAUUAAACUCAAGAUAAUUCAAAAUAAUAAAAAAAGUACAAUACAAUCCAUGUAUAAUAAGUCAUAUGGUAUUUUUGAGGGUUUCAUAAGAUACUAAAUUAAUAAAAUAAAAUUAGGUGGGUUGGUGAGCCAACCCGGCUCACCACGGGUUCAACCCGGAUAAACCGGGUUUAAAUGAGUCGGAUUAAAAGUUGACCCGCAUAAAAAAAUAUAUUUUUUUCAAACCCAACUUGGCUCGAACCUGUGGUGGGCCGGGUUAACCCGCGGAUUGUAACCCAUUUUGACAGUUUUAUAUGUAACUUUAGAGCAAUUUCAAUACAAUAUGUUGCUGAAAAUUUUGACAAGAGCCUUGUGACAUAUUGUUCUUCAUUUUAACUAUUAGAGUCGUCUAUUGGAGGUUUGUGGUUAGAGAAAUUAGUUUCGUAUUAUUGCUCUACAUUAAGUUUCUCUCAUUUUGUUCUUCAUAUUUGAGAACAUUAUACAUUUAAUGUAUUGGUUGCUUAUCCAUAUUUGUUUGUUUUUUUAUCUGACUCUUUUGUAUCCAUAUCUGAUCUUAGAGAAGCUUAAUUGACUGACUUGUGCUUGUGAGUUCUUACUUCUACUAUUGAGAAAAUUUUCUCACAUUAAAAAUAUGAGAGUUCUUAUUUUCAUUGCACACGUUGGUAUUUUUGGUUGUUGUGUUGUUGUUUCUCCCAUCAUAAUGACAUCAAAGCUCUUUGAUUUGGGGUUGUAUUUACUUGCUUGAAUGAUGAAGGCAAAUACAAAGAUGAUUACUUUAAAUGGCACACAUUAUUAUUUGUGGAAACGUAAGAUGAAAGGCAUAUUGUUUGUAAAACAAUUGCAUAUAAGGUUGAAGAUCCAUUAACCCAUUACCUUAAAGUUUUAGGUAGAGAGUGAUGUCAAUUCCUUAUGUGAUUGGACUCAGAUCUCAUUGAUGUUAUAUAUUGUUAUGAUGUGUAGAAAAUAAAUUUGUUAAAGCUUUAUCUCCAACUACAACCCUAGAUUUAAUCCUAUAACAUAAAUGAGAAAACACCACAUAAGGCUUAUUAGACUUAAACAGUGAGGGAGAACUCUCGUAUGUUCUGCCUGUUAUUUGGCUCAAGGGGCAACCAUGUAGUUCUUUUUUUACCGUUGAAUGUUAUAAAAAGUAUCAUUAGAUAACUGUAUGAUGUCUUUGUAUGCUUUUCAAUUUGCAAUGCCAAAGGAAUGAGAAGUAUCCUUCUUUGUUCAUGCUAAGUUUUUGCGUAAGUAUAUAAGCAGUCAAAUUCUCACACAAGAUGGAUGCUACAUGACAAUGAUAACUAAAAUGCUCAAUCAAAUAAAAGAUGUUUGUUUGUAUAGUUCAGUCGUGAGAACUUAGAGAACAUAUCACUCAUGCUCAGGAUUCAGAUUCCUUGUUUUUGAAAAUUCCCGAACCACUUUUCCUCCUCCAAUUCAUUUUUAUUCAUAAAACAAAAGCUUGAAGAGCUUUGUCCAAAAAGAACGAAAAAUAAACAGAAGAGGUAUUAACAGCUAAAUGAGAUCUUUAUGGAAAAACAUGUAAGAGUACGGUGGUGACUGGUUUUGUCCAUCACGUAUAUGAUGGUGAAUUCUAUAUAUAAGUCAAUGAUUAAAUAAUUUAAGUUUAUACUUUUAUAUCACUUGAAAUUCUUUGAUAUCAUAUAAGGUUUAUACAGUGAAACUAAAUUUAACACGACUCUAGUUUAAGUUAAACAUAAGUAAUUUAGUUGAGAUCCAUUUAAAAAACCAUCAUUGUAUAUGAUAAAAUAUUUUUAAAAAACUUUAUUUUGUAACUAAUUGAAAUAGUCAUAAUGUUUUAAUUAUUAAUUGAUAAACAUAAGUGAAAAGAUAAAUCACUGAAACUAUAAUUAGGCUUAUAUGAAUAGCCAUAAAUGAUCCUUGAUUAAAAAAACACCUCAUUGAUUAGAUCUUUCUUUUUUCUGCUGAAAUAUAACCAGUAAAUAACACUAUUGCAUAUACACAUUCAAUAAAACAACCAAGAACAUUGUGUAUGGGUUGGCGAAAAAACCCGUACCCGUGAAUAUUCGUGGGUAAAAUUCGCUUCAGAUAUUUAAUACCCGCAAAUACUCACUUGUUAACGGGUCGGGUUUGGGUAUCACAUUAUUCAUACCUGCAGGUACUUGUUAUCCGUUUAAAAAAUAAAAUUAUAAUUUUAACUAAUAGGUUUUUUGUUUAAAAAAUAAAAUUAUAAUUUUAACUAUUCUAACUCUUCAAUUAGGUUUCAAUCUACUGGAAAAAUAAAAAUUGGCAAAAGCCAAAAUUUUUUUAGGGUUUUCUUCCUCAGAAUAAGGAAAAAAGAGGUGCCCCCAUUUCUUCUUGUUAGCUACAAUGCCGUUACAGACUGUAAAUCCUUGCUCGAUCACGUGCGGUUGCCCGAUCUCAAUGGUCGUCAAAACGCGGAGGCGUCGAAGCGGAUCAGAAGCAGAGAGGUUCAGCGUCUAGACGAAGUGAAGAUGAGGACGAAGAAGAGGAAGAUGAGGCCGAAUAAUGUCGCGGUGACGACGUCUAGGUUCAGAACUGGCGAGGGCCACCCAUGUGUUUUGAGGCACGGAGGUUCACGUGACCCAUCGAAAACUGUAUUGGAUGGGAUCAAAACAACAUUGGGGUCUGUGUUUUGGAGUUGGGCGUGUUGAUAAAUGCAACUGGAAAUGAAUGAAAGUUUGUAUGAUGAGAGUAAAGAAGGGUUUACUGGAAGGAGGACGCGACAGAGGGCAACAACUGCAAAUGGAGGAGGUGACGAUUGCUCCCUUUGAAGGGAAGACCUAGGGUUUGUGAGUUCUGAUUCUGAACAAGAAAGAAAGGAUAAUAGAGUAUUGGGUCAGAAUUUGGACUAAAGGAAGUUGGAAAACGAGUAUCCAACAAAUAUUCGUGGGUUAGAAAAAAUCCCCGAUUUUUUUUACACGAGUAUUCGACGAGUAGUAGGGCGGGUACGAGUUUGACUUUGUACUUGCGGUUCGAGUUUCGGGUAGACACUAUCCAUGCCUGACCUGACCCGUUGUCAUCUCUAAUUUUGUAUUGCUAACAAAGACAUCCACCGAACAAAUAAUUUAUCAUAGUAUUUAGUGAUAAUCAAAACACCUUUACAUGAAUGUUACACUUCAAACUAGAAAGUUUUCAUUACAAUAAUUUAUUUCUUGGUAACGUAUAAAAUUUUAAUAAAAUCUUCUCCGUUUUAGAUUAUUAAAAUAGAAUACUAAACAAAAAAAAUCCUAAUCAUGAAACUUUUGUUGCUAGUCUUUUAUGAUUUGCAGAUAUUGGCGACAUAUGGAGCAUGGCUGAUUAGUUUGUAGCCAACGCGUAAUACAUUUUCAAUGAAAGAAGUGUUGACAUGGAAGUGCGUAGCACUCAGCAUUGAGAUCGAAUUCAUCCAAGCAUAUGCAACAACAACACUCAGUCUGUAACACUAUAGAUUUCUUCAAUGUGUCAAUGGGUUUUUCGGUUGUUGGAACCGUUCUUAAAGGAUACUGUGUUGCUCCAUACAUGCUGCUAUCAGUAAAAUAAGGACCUUGUAGUUUAAGUGGAUGUGGGUGGAUGUGUUUAGUCAUGCUAAAUACGAUUUUUUUCCUCCAAAAUUUUAAUAUAUUUUUAUUUUUAAAUUUUAAUAAUCUUUUUAAUUCAAUCAGAUUUUCUUUUUCGAAUUAAACACCUUUGUUUGAGUUGUUUAUGUUUUUUAAGAUGUUUUUCUUCAAUAUUAAAUGAAAAUGUGUUUGAGAGAAAUAAAUCAUAUUUUAGAAUUAAAAGACAAAAAAGGUAAUUUUAAAAGAGAAUUUUUUAUAAAAACAUGAAUAUCAUGAAUGCAUUAUUAUGUUAUUAAAUGCACUUUUUUUUUUCUAUGCAAUAAGAUAAAAAAGAAGAAAAAUAAAAAUAGAAAUUCGAUGGAAUAAUAGAAUGAUAUGAUUCUAUUACAUAUUUAUUAAUGAAAAAGUUUUUGUUUUCAGUAGCUCAAUGAGAGUAUUAUUUUUGGACUACUGGUCAUGUGAUUAAGUCUUACUUAAUGUAUAAAAUGUUUUGGUUGUUUUAAUUAUACGUACUAUUAUUGAUGAGAAGUACUUAUAUGUUUAGUGGUAGAUGAUAUAAUUAAUUGAAUUUUAAUAGUUUAAAAGUUGAUAUUGUUAUUUGAUACUAUAGAGAAUGAGAUUCAAACCUUCAUUAGUGUGUUAUCUGAUGCUUGUGUUCUCGUGUUAACCUUUGGUGAUGUUAUACAUAAAACAUGUUAUGCAUAGACCAUUCACAGAAUGAAUGACACGUAGAUAACGUAAAAAUAUCGUCAAAGUAUUAUUAUCCUUUUGUGAAAUAUAGAAUUUAUUUGAAUGCAGGAAAAACAAGUCAAAGUAAGUCAAAGUAUAUAAAUUGGAUGUUUGAUUUUAGACAUUAUGGCUAAGAUUAUACUUUGUAUCACUUGAAAUUCUUUGAUAUCAUAUAAGGUUUAUACAGUGAAACUAAAUUUAACACGACUCUAGUUUAAAUUAAUCAUAAAAGGUAAACAAAAUAAUACUAACAUUGCUUUAACCUAUAUAUCAAAGUAAUUUAGUUGAGAUCCGUUUAAAAAACCAUCACUAUAUAUCAUUAAAAUAUUUUUAAAAAGCUUUAUUUUGUAACUAAUUCAAAUAGUCAUUAUGUUUGAAUUAUUAACCGAUAAACAUAAGUGAAAAGAUAAAUCACUGAAACUAUAAUUAGGCUUAUAUGAAUAGCCAUAAAUGAUUCUUGAUUAAAGAAACACCUCAUUGAUUAGAUUUUUUUUUUUUUUUCUGAAAUAUAACCCGUAAAUAACACUACUGCAUAUACACAUUCAAUAAAACAAUCAAGAACAUUGUGUAUUGCUAAGAAAGACAUCCAAAAAAAAUAAUUCAUCAUAGUAUUUAGUGAUAAUCAAAACAAGAAAAUUUUCAUUACACUAAUUGAUUUCUCCCUAACAUAUAAAAUUUCAAUAAAAUCUUCUCUGUUUUAAAUUAUUGAAAUAGAGUACUAAACAAAAAAUACCCUAAUCAUCACAGAGAUUGGUGACAAAUGGGGCAGGUGCGACAAAUGGGGCAGGUAUGAUUGUGAUGUAGCCAGCGCGUAAUACAUUUUUGAUGAAAGAAAUGUUGACAUGGAAGUGCAUAACACUCAGCAUUGAGAUCGAAUUCAUCCAAGCAUAUGCAACAACAACACUCAGUUUCUAAAACUGUAGAUUUCUUCAACGUGUCAAUGAGAGUUUUGAUUGCUGCAUGCAUGCAUAUUGUUAUCAGUAACAUUGAUUUCAUAAAAAAUAUGAAAUCUUAAAUUAUGAGAUUAUUGAAAAUCACUAUACAUGAACAUAAAUCGCUAUUUAUGAAACUUACCUGUUGGGGUUAGUGUUGACAUGAUUACACUCUUGAUAAAUCCUUGACACUUUCUGCCUGUAGAAUUAUAUGAUCUUUAUUCUUCUUAGUAUUUUUCUCCAGUAUUCUUAGUCUUUAUAUAGAGGGAGAUUUAUUUAUUUGUUGAAUUCAAGAUAAAGGGAAAAUGUAAUAUAUUAUUAGGAUUUGAUUUAUUUGUUGUUGAUUGAAAUUAUAUAUCUUUUAUUUUUUUUAUUAGAAUGCUAUUUUUAUAGUUUGAUUUUAUAUUGUUUAAUUAAAAUUUUAUCUUUAAAGUCAUUUUAGUACAUAUAUUUUAUUAUAAGUUAUUUAAAAUAUUAAAAUUAUCGUAAAUCAAAUAUAUUGAACAUUUUUUUUAUGAUUCUCAGUAAUUUAUUUUAUAAUCUCUGUUUUAUUUUUUUUUAAUUCGAUUUACUUUAUAUAUUUGUGGUUAUAUAAAAGAUAAUAUAUAAUUUGUAGUGUGUAAUGGUUAAAAGAAAUUUUAUAUUAGUAUGCUGUAAAUAUAUUUGCGGUUAUUGUUUUUAUUAUAUUAGUAGUUUAUAUGUUUUUAUAUAUUUUAAAAUAUAGUUAAAGAUAAAAUCAGAAUACUAUUUUUUAUUUUAAAGUAUAAUUGAAGAUAAAUAAAACUGUAAAAUGUUUAUGCAAAUUGUUAUAAAUUUAUAUAUAUUAUAUAUGAUCUUUUUCUCUUCUUAAAUAUGCUCAGUAACUUUCUCAGUGGAAAUUAUCUUUAUAUAAUGAUUUUUUUUGUUGGUUAGAAAGUUAAUUGUUUAUUCUUAAUAUCUAAUAUCUUUUAUCUUUUAUUUUUUAUAUUUUAUAAUGAUGUGAUUCAUCAAUUUAGCAUUUAAUAUAACUUAAAAGAUUAAUAUUUGUUCGAUAUAUAUAUAUAUAUAUAUAUAUAUAUAUAUAUAUAUAUAUAUAUAUAUAUAUAUAUAUAUAUAUAUAUAUAUAUAUAUAUAUAUAUAUANUAUAUAUAUAUAUAUAUAUAUAUAUAUAUAUAUAUAUAUAUAUAUAUAUAUAUAUAUAUAUAUAUAUAUAUAUAUAUAUAUAUAUAUAUUACUAAGUUUUAGGUUACAAAAAUGUCCAUAUUAAAAAAAAUAACAAUUUUAAAUCUAAUGGUGUUUUAAUAAUUUUAAAAUUUAAUUUAAAAUAAAAUAUAGUUAUUAAAAAUCCUAAUUGGUCCACAUGUACAAGAGAAGUUAUUAGUUUUUAUUAUAUAUUUUUUAAAAGGUAAUUGUUUUUUAAAAUAAAAAAUAAAAUAAAAGGUAGUUGUUUUUUUAAUUCACGGGUUUUAUAAAACUAGAUGGUUCUAUAAACUCAGACGGGUUCUAUAAAUUCAGAAGGGUUCUAUAAUUCCAGACAGGUUCUAUAAAUCCAGACGGGUUCUAUAAACUCAGACGGGUUCUAUAAAUCCAGACGACGGUUCUAUAAACCCAGACCGGUUCUAUAAACUCAGACUGGUUCUAUAAACCCAAAUGAGUUCUAUAAACCUUGAAUCCUAAAUCCUAAACCAUUAUAUUUUUUUAAAAAGUAGUUGUUUUUUAAAAUAAAAAAUAAAAUAAAAGCUAAUAACUUAUCUUGUGGACUAAUCAGGACCUUUUAUUUUUUUUCAUUUUAAAUUCAAUUUUAAAAUUAUUAAAAUACUCUUGGAUUUAAAGUUGGUUUUCUUUUUUAAUAGGGACAUUUUUAUAACCUAAAACUUGGUACAUUUUCCUAAAAUAUACCAACUAAAAAACUCUUUUAUGUAAAUUAGCAAACCCAUAUAUAUAUAUAUAUAUAUAUAUAUAGAGAGAGAGAGAGAGAUUUUCAAAAUAUUAAAAUUAUCUUAAGAUUUUCAUGAUUUUAAAAUGCUUAUUUUAUAAUCUCUAUUUUAGAUUUAUUUGAAUUUGAUUUAUUCUAUAGUAGUACAUAAAUAAAUAAGGUGUCAGUUAAUAUAUUUGCAGUUAAUAUUAUAUGCCUAAUUUGUAUAUUUGUUUUAAGAUGUAGUUAAAGAUAAGAAUUUUGAUAGGUAUAAUUUGUAUUUUUUAUUUUAAGAUAAAUUGAAGAUAAAAUGAAAAUAUGAAAUAUUUACCGUGAAUUGUUAUAAAUUUAUAAAUUAUAUAGAUAUAAAAUAUGAGCUAAGUUAAUACAUACAUUAUCUAUUAUUUAUUAUAAAUUAUAAAUAAGCUUUUGUGUGAUAUGACCUAUUAUUAUUAUUAUUAUUAUUAUUAUUAUUAUGUAUUAUUUAUGUAAAAACCUAUUUUUUAUUUAAGUUUUUCAGCAAGUUAUAACUGUAACACUAGUGCAAAAACGCGGAUUAACGUCGGUUAUUUUGGGCUUUUAACGUCUACACAUGAACCGACGUCAUUUCCGGUGACAUCAAUGCAACGUCGGACAUAUAGCAUAACCGACGUCUAACUUGACGUCAGUCACUGACAAGGUCGACGUGACUAAAUAUAGGUGUAGGGGGAAAAUGGACGUCUAAAGACAUUAUAUAGACGUCGGUCUUCGCAACAACCGACGUCGAAGAGGCACUAAAGACUUCAAAAAUGACACUGAUUGACGUCUAAGAGGUACUAUAGACAUCGGUGUGUACAUUAACCGACGUCUAAUACAGUAGUUGUGUUUUAGUGCAGUUUUGUUCUCGUCUUUGGAUAGCUUAGUAGCACAAUUUCGUUUUGCUAGUUUCCACCAAAAAAAAAACUUGCGUCUCUUGAAUUUCUUAUGGAUCUUUUCAACCCAAAAUCGAACCUGGGUUCUUGCUUAGUUCCAUUUUCAUUCGCAAGAAGAAAAAAUCACGGUGAAACGAUAACUAGGCAAUGACCCAGGGUCGCUUUUAGGUUGAAAUGAUCAAAAGAAAUUCAAUAGACACGCUUUUUCUAGGAGGCAGCUAGCAGAGGGAGAAUGUGUUACUACGUUACUCCAAGAAAGGAACAAAACUGCACUAAAACACAACAAAAAGAAAGCAAAUUUUAAUCAGUUGAACCAGAAGAUAAUCGAUGAAAGACUAAACAAAGUUUAAACGGUAAGCAUAAAUAAAAACCACGCACCUGGGAUGCCGCAAGAGAGAAAAAGAAGAAGAGGCAGAGAGAAAAAGAAAAGGUGCCACAAGCGAGAAAAGGAAGAGGCCGCAAGAGAAAAUGGAGAAGAGGAAGACGAUAUCAGAAACUGAAUGUCGCGAAGAGUUUGCGGUUGCAUAUUUAAAAUGAAAUUGGACGUCGGUUAUCUCACUAAUAUGACGUCCAAGUUAACAUUUCAUCUGACCUUUUGAAUACCAUUAGACGUCGGUUUCUACGGGAGCCGACAUCUCGAAAGCUGAAACGAUUGACGUUUGAUUUCCUGUCAGGGAUGUUGACGACAGUUGUGAUGGGGCAGCGACGUCUAUAAUGAUGAACAUCAUUACUUGCAGGCACAUAGACGUCGGUGCCCCUUCUACCCGACGUCUAUGUAUUACAAGCACAUAGACGUCGCUUCCACUGAACAUCGACGUCUAAAUUGACGAUUUUUUGUCUUCCCGCCUUCCAUUCAGGCCGUAGAUGUCGCCUUUUGACUGCGCGACGUCUAAGCAUCUGGGAAUUAGGUAAAGAGCCUUAAUUGCAGCCCCAUAGACAUCGGCCCCUCGUGAACACCGACGUUAAUGGACUGUCUUCUCACCUACCCCAGACCAUUAGACGUCGGUUUGAGCCAAUGUGGACGUCUACAUUGUAAAAGACGUCGCCUUAACCGAAAACCGGCGUCUUGGUUACCAAACUAUUUACGAUAAUGCCACCGGACACUCAUAGACAUCGGGUUACCAACAAACCGGCGUCUAUUGGGUGACGUUAAACAACGUUUUUGCACUAGUGUAAAUUUGACUUUUAUGUACACCAACAUGUUAAUAACUAAGAAAUGUAAAUAAAUAUACAUUAAAAUGUUUAUAUAUAAUUACUAUAAUAUUAAAAAAAAAGAUAAGAUGAGAAUGUUAUAAAUUAUUGAGGAUGUAAUGUUAUUUAUUAGUAUUUUGAGAGUAUCAAUACCAAAGCAAAUGAUAUUAUUUUUAGUGUAAUAUAAGUAUCGAAUUAGUUAUGUAGGUUUUAUUAAUAAUUUAAAUAUUAAAUAAGAAUGUAUUAAGGGAUGAAAAUAAGAUAGAAGUUCUUAUCACUCCUUUGAGAAACUUAGUUCUAGUAUUUAUAUAAAAAAAAGUUUACCAAGUGGUUGAUAUAUGAAGAUAGAAUAAUAGAAAAUAUUCAAGUUACAGGACAAUUUUCUAUUUUGUAUAUUAUUUAAUAAAUGCCAGAUAUUUUGAUAAUACUAAAUUUACUAUCAUAUCUUUUCAAUAUAAUUUGUUUUCUCGUAUCGUAUGAUAAAUAUAUAUAACAUUAGAGAUGACGAAAAUAACAAUAGUAGGGAUAGAAUUUUAUAAAAUGCAUGAAUUGGAAUUAAAUGUUCUGAAACUAAAUUUGAAAGAAGUUUAAGAAAAUUGAACAACUUAUGAAAUAGUUUAAACAAAUUAAAUUUAACUCAUUACGGUUUCUUAUUGUUGUUGAGUUGAAAGUUUGUCAUCUUCUUUGAAGAUUCAAAGGAGGUGUUCAUCCUUUGUGAAGAUUCAAAGGAGGUGGUCAUCAUUCGUGAAGCGUUCGGAGGAGGUGUUCAUCCCUUGUGGGUUUCAGGAGAAGUGAGUUUCAUCUCUUCUGGUAACAAGAGAGGUGUUCUAACCUUCAACUUGUUUAUUUUCUUUGUGAUUGUAAUAGUUUGUUGGUUUGUGAUAGUGAAGCGUUAAUUCUCAUUUAUUCGAGAUUAACAACUGGACGUAGGAUCUGUGUGACCGAACCAGUAUAAAAAUCUCCUGUGCAAUUUUCUUUCUUCCUUACUUUUUUAUUUCUUUAAUUUUGUAUUAAAAAAUUUAAUUUAUACGAGAAAAUCAUUAAAGGUAUUAUUUGUAAUAAGAAACCGAUUCACCCCCCUCUCUUUGUUUGUUGUACACGCUAACCAUUCUGUUACACAACUCUGACAUAUAUGGAUAAGUUUUCCAUAUCCCAUUAUAAAAUAUAUAUUGUUUUUCAUUAAAUCUUCUCCUUACAUAUAUCAAGCUCCAUUAAGAUCAAAUGUAAGUACAAGAGAGUUAAAUUAAAAGCCAAAUAAGUGUCUACAACUAAUAAGUAAUAAUUGUAACUAAUGAGAAGCAUUGAUGCUUUGAAGAGACUUUGAUGAUGAUGCACUUGAAGACUUGAAGAAACAAAUACAUUCAUUGUUAAAAGCAUUCUUUGUAGAAAGAGUUGUAUUAGGCUUUAACUUUGGAUUAUAAGCACUUAGAUGUCUUGUAACUUCUCUUAAGUAUAGUUUUCUCUCGACAAUAAUCAAUUAUCACGGGAGAUAAACGAUUAUUAUAAGUAAACUUAGAAAAAGGUUUUGUCUCGAGAAUAAUCGAUUGUCAUCGAAUGUGAUAAUUGUUCAGGGUUCAGAAAUAAUCGAUUAUCACUAAUGAUAAUCAAUUAUCAUAUCACGUUUUUCAAAACCCAUAACGACCUAAAAUAAUCUAUUAUCACUUUUGGUAAUUGAUUAUCUCUGACAGUUGGGAGUUGUCUUUUCAUUUUCUGACCCCUGUCCUAUAAAUAGAAGCCUCCUAAACAUUUUACAAGUUACCUAAACUAUUUGAGAGUACAUAAUUGAUUUUGAGGAAACUCUUGUGUUUAGGUGAUAUCUUGAUAUAUUCUUGAAGAAGGAGAAGCUUGUUGUUAGUGUGUCUACGGUGCAAGUUGUUCUCUAACAAGUCUCUCAAGCUGGUGAUCAUUUUUCCCUCAUGUAUCGAAGGAAGGUGUGUAUUCUUUACUAUUUAGUUUUUGAUCCAUCUUGUAAACAUCAAACUGAUUUUUAGUAAAAAGUUAGCCACACUUUCUAAAGUGAUUAACAAUUAGAUGUAGAAUCUUUUUUUUUCGAACCGGUAUAAAAAUCCUGUGUCAUUUUCUUUAUCUCUGCAUUUCCUAAUUUUAAACUGUUUGAAGAAAUUCCUAAAAGAAAACAAAAAUUUUUAAUGGAACCAAUUCACCCUUCCCUCUUGGUUUUUGUCUGAUUUCAUGCUUUUAAACGUUCCGUUGCAUGAUACCAAUUCCUACAAUAAUGUUUUCAAAAAUGAAAACCAAAAGAAUAGAAUCCUAAAAUAAAGCAAUAGUGCAAGAUAGAUUUCUCUAAUCAUACACCUUUAAGAUCCUAGUGUUCAAAAUGAAGAACCAUAUGUGAUAAACCUAUUGUCUAAAGUUUAGUCAAAUCCAACGAUUAAUGAAGCAAAAAUCACAAUUUUAUUGGGGGCAAUGCAGUGAUUAUAUCAGCAAAUUUUCUCUCUCUUUUCUUUCUUCCAAAGGUUGUGACUUUUACACACUCUCUUGACUUAGAAGACCCUCUUCACUUAGGUUAAGUGAGAUAAAAUGAGUUUAACUAGGUUGGAUGUUUUAGACACAUAGAGCCCAACCCAACACAUCUUCCUCCUCAUAACUGUGUGGGAGUGAGGGUUAAUUAAGUGACCUUAAAACUUAGCACAUUUAUGACAAAUGAUAUUUUCACCCUAGGCGAAAAAAUCUCAUUAAGAUCAACAUCCUUUUUGUUUAAAACAUUUCACCAAUAAUUUGAUCUUAUACAUUGGAGAUGUAAAAUUAACCUCAAUUUCACCCUAAAAAUCCACGUUCUUAGAACCCUUUUGCUAAUAGAUAAUUUUACCAAAUUAUAAGUGUGAUUAUCAUGUAAAGAUUUUAUCUCAUCUAGAACUACAUUCAACUAGUUUUAUUUUUCUUCACUUUCCAAAGCUUAUUUAAAAUUAUUCAGGUUCUACUAUCUGAGAAUUGUGUCCAAUUUUUUUUUCAGAUUCUUUUUUACAAACAAUUCCGGUAUCUUAUGACAAAAAGGGGGUAAAAAAACAGGAAUGAUGAUUACACGGUCCGCCAUUUUCCAUAUAUAUAUAUAUCUAUAUAUCUAUAUAACCAGAUAUAACCAGGUUAAGCGUCAAUUCAUCGAAAAUAGAAAUUUUAAGAAAAAUUGUAUUGGAAUAGGAAUCCAUUUCUUCUUCUUGUUC